rnacentral:lncRNA from 1 species
GUGUUUUUUUUUUCAAAAGGGGAAUUCAUGCAUUUGAUGUCAGUUGCUGUAGAGAAUCCUAAGAGAUACAGAACUGGAUUUAUAUGCUUUAAGUUCACUCUUUGAAUGGGACCAGGUGUCUUUCUAGAGGGAUGGACUUUCUGCUACCUUAUCCCAGAAGAAAAGAUGGAAGCAAGAAGCAGCUUCAUAACCAAAGCAUAUACCAUAUGUAUCAUAUGACAUGCUCUGUAAUUCUAAAGACUACUAUGAAAUUGCUACUGAAGGAAUCUGUGAGGCUGCCUCCAGGCAGUGAGAGAAAACUGCAGGAUCCCACAGUUGUUUUUUGUCAUCACUGCCAGACAGCAGGGCAACAUCACGGGGCAAGUGUGGCACUCACCUGACUGGAUGCCUGCUCCUGAAAUGGCGUGGUAUGUACAUCCGGGUAUUUUGAUGGUGCAAAAUACCCGGAGGUGCACAAUCACUGGUUCCCAUGAGUGUGCAGUGACUAUGUUCAGCUUGGUUUGGCCAGCACAUGUGCAGUGGUCAUUUCCAAGAUGGAGGAUCCCAGGAACAAGCAUCCAGACAAGGUAAGACCUCUUGCUA